rnacentral:misc_RNA from 1 species
ACAGUUUUGUUUAAUUAAGCCCCAAAAGACUGAAUUUUUCUAUCAUAGUUCAAAUUUAUCAAUUUUAGGUUUUGGUUUACAUGAUGGAUGCUCCUAUUAUUGACCCAUUGCAGGGGGUUUUCCCUGAAAUUAUAGAGGAGUAUUUGGAGAGUGGGAUCAUGAAGUGCAUAGCCUUUAAUCGUCGCGGCACCCUUCUUGCAG